rnacentral:rRNA from 1 species
UCAGGCCUAACACAUGCAAGUCGAGCGGUAGCGGGAAGAGCUUGCUCUUUGCCGACGAGCGGCGGACGGGUGCGUAACACGUAGGAAUCUGCCUGGUAGUGGGGGAUAGCCCGGAGAAAUCCGGAUUAAUACCGCAUACGCACUAGCUCUUCAAGAGCGGUGGAAAGGAGGGGAUCUUCGGACCUUUCGCUAUCAGAUGAGCCUGCGUCGGAUUAGCUUGUUGGUGGGGUAAAGGCCUACCAAGGCGACGAUCCGUAGCUGGUCUGAGAGGAUGAUCAGCCACACUGGGGCUGAGACACGGCCCAGACUCCUACGGGAGGCAGCAGUGGGGAAUAUUGCACAAUGGGCGAAAGCCUGAUGCAGCCAUGCCGCGUGUGUGAAGAAGGCCCUAGGGUUGUAAAGCACUUUCAGUGGAGAGGAAAGGUUGAAGGUUAAUACCCUUCAGCUGUGACGUUACCCACAGAAGAAGCACCGGCUAACUCCGUGCCAGCAGCCGCGGUAAUACGGAGGGUGCGAGCGUUAAUCGGAAUUACUGGGCGUAAAGCGUGCGUAGGCGGCCACCUAAGUUGGAUGUGAAAGCCCCGGGCUCAACCUGGGAACUGCAUCCAAAACUGGGUGGCUAGAGUACGGGAGAGGAGUGUGGAAUUUCCUGUGUAGCGGUGAAAUGCGUAGAUAUAGGAAGGAACACCAGUGGCGAAGG